rnacentral:rRNA from 1 species
AGAGUAAUGUCUGGGAAACUGCCUGAUGGAGGGGGAUAACUACUGGAAACGGUAGCUAAUACCGCAUAACGUCGCAAGACCAAAGUGGGGGACCUUCGGGCCUCAUGCCAUCAGAUGUGCCCAGAUGGGAUUAGCUAGUAGGUGAGGUAAUGGCUCACCUAGGCGACGAUCCCUAGCUGGUCUGAGAGGAUGACCAGCCACACUGGAACUGAGACACGGUCCAGACUCCUACGGGAGGCAGCAGUGGGGAAUAUUGCACAAUGGGCGCAAGCCUGGAUGCACCCAUGCCGCGUGUAUGAAGAAGGCCUUCGGGUUGUAAAGUACUUUCAGCGGGGAGGAAGGUGUUGAGGUUAAUAACCUCAGCAAUUGACGUUACCCGCAGAAGAAGCACCGGCUAACUCCGUGCCAGCAGCCGCGGUAAUACGGAGGGUGCAAGCGUUAAUCGGAAUUACUGGGCGUAAAGCGCACGCAGGCGGUCUGUCAAGUCGGAUGUGAAAUCCCCGGG